UACGUAGGGGGCGAGCGUUGUCCGGAUUUAUUGGGCGUAAAGAGCGUGUAGGCGGCCAGGUAGGUCUGCUGUGAAAACUCGAGGCUCAACCUCGAGACGUCGGCGGAAACCAUCUGGCUAGAGUCCGGAAGAGGAGAGUGGAAUUCCUGGUGUAGCGGUGAAUGCGCAGAUAUCAGGAAGAACACCCGUGGCGAAGGCGGCUCUCUGGGACGGUACUGACGCUGAGACGCGAAAGCGUGGGAGCGAACAGG
rnacentral:rRNA from 1 species